AACGAACGCUGGCGGCAGGCCUAACACAUGCAAGUCGAGCGAAGCCUUCGGGCUUAGCGGCGGACGGGUGAGUAACGCGUGGGAACGUGCCCUUUGGUACGGAGUAGCCCCGGGAAACUGGGAGUAAUACCGUAUGUGCCCUUCGGGGGAAAGAUUUAUCGCCAAAGGAUCGGCCCGCGUUGGAUUAGGUAGUUGGUGGGGUAAUGGCCUACCAAGCCGACGAUCCAUAGCUGGUUUGAGAGGAUGAUCAGCCACACUGGGACUGAGACACGGCCCAGACGCCUACGGGAGGCAGCAGUGGGGAAUCUUAGACAAUGGGGGAAACCCUGAUCUAGCCAUGCCGCGUGAUCGAUGAAGGCCUUAGGGUUGUAAAGAUCUUUCAGUGGGGAAGAUAAUGACUGUACCCACAGAAGAAGCCCCGGCUAACUCCGUGCCAGCCGCCGCGGUAAUAC
rnacentral:rRNA from 1 species